rnacentral:rRNA from 1 species
AAGUCAUUGGGUAUUUAAAACCUAAAGGCGUAAUUAACUUAACUAUUUAUAAUGGGAUCAAUUAUAUAUAUUAAUAUUAUAUAUAUAUUCCAUCCCGGGGCGUUCUAUAUAGUUAUGCAUUUUAAUAUAUUUUAUAUAUAUUAUAUUUGCCUCUAACUAGAGCGUACCUUGAGCAUAUAUGUUGUGACCCGAAAGAUGGUGAACUAUACCUGAUCAGGUUGAAGUCAGGGGAAACCCUGAUGGAAGACCGAAACAGUUCUGACGUGCAAAUCGAUUGUCAGAAUUGGGUAUAGGGGCGAAAGACCAAUCGAACCAUCUAGUAGCUGGUUCCCUCCGAAGUUUCCCUCAGGAUAGCUGGUGCAAUUAAAUUUUAUGUAAUAUAAUCUUAUCUGGUAAAGCGAAUGAUUAGAGGCCUUAGGGCCGAAACGACCUUAACCUAUUCUCAAACUUUAAAUGGGUAAGAACCUCACCUUUCUUGAUUAUGAAGGUGAAGUUAUGAUAUAUUGUGCCCAGUGGGCCACUUUUGGUAAGCAGAACUGGCGCUGUGGGAUGAACCAAACGUGAUGUUACGGCGCCUAAAUUAACAACUCAUACUGAUACCAUGAAAGGCGUUGCUUGCUUAAAACAGCAGGACGGUGGACAUGGAAGUCGUAAUCCGCUAAGGAGUGUGUAACAACUCACCUGCCGAAGCAACUAGCCCUUAAAAUGGAUGGCGCUCAAGUUGUAUGCCUAUACAUCACCGCUAAAAUAUAUGAUUUAUAAAAAUUUUAUUUUUAUAAAUUUUGAAACUUUAGUGAGUAGGAGGGUACAAUGGUGUGCGUAGAAGUGUUUGGCGUAAGCCUGCAUGGAGCCGCCAUUGGUACAGAUCUUGGUGGUAGUAGCAAAUAAUCGAAUGAGACCUUGGAGGACUGAAGUGGAGAAGGGUUUCGUGUGAACAGUGGUUGAUCACGAGUUAGUCGGUCCUAAGUUCAAGGCGAAAGCCGAAAAAUUUUAAGUUAUAUAUUUAUUAUUAAUAAUUAUAUAAUAUACUUAUAAUUUUGAACGAAAGGGAAUACGGUUCCAAUUCCGUAACCUGUUGAGUAUACGUUUGUUAUUAAAAAUGGGCUUUUAUGCUCAUCCUGGUAACAGAAACAACCAUAAAGAAGCCGUCGAGAAAUAUCGAAAGAGUUUUCUUUUCUGUUUCAUAGUCGUACUACCAUGGAAGUCUUUCGAAGAGAGAUAUGGUAGAUGGACUAGAAGAGCAUGGCAUUUACUGCUGUGUCGAUAUUUUCUCCUCGGACCUUGAAAAUUUAUGGUGGGGUCACGCAAACUUCUUAACAGGCCGUACCGAUAUCCGCAGCUGGUCUCCAAGGG